GACAUGAACCACUGGCUGAGAAACAUCCUGAUUCUGACUCUCUGGCUAGAGUGUAAAGGAGAAGACAGAGUGACCCAGCCAGCAGGAGAUGUCAUUGCUGCUGAAGGAGACACAGUUACACUUGGCUGUACUUUUGAGACGAGUAGAGCAAGUCCAACUUUGUUCUGGUACAAACAAGUAAAUGAGUCUCCUAAGUACAUGCUGAAAAGUUACUCAAAAACAACAGAUUUUGAUGCAGAGUUCACGAAAGACAGAUUUAAUGCUACAAUCAAGGAUAAGUCAGUUCCUCUGAAGAUCCAGAAGCUUCAGCUGACUGACUCUGCUGUGUACUACUGUGCUCUGCAGCCCACAGUGACAGGAAACACCAAAACUCUGUACAAAAACCUUUGGAGCAAAGACAACAGAAUACUCCACAACGUCCACUAGAGGGAGUCACACACUGUUAAACUUCAGUGGUUUAUGAUAUAGUCAGGAUUUGUUUUAGUGGUGAUAGAAGCAACAUUAAAUGAAGCGCUACAGAUAAAACACAAUAAACAAAUAACAGAACUUGAAUAUG